CAAAUUGAAUAAAGUGUGAAAAUUUAAUUGUAGAUUAAAAGAAAAUAAAGAGGACCAAAAUGGCAAUUAUGCCAUUUGUCUUAAGUGAGGCCGCAGAUGCAUAAAAAUCUUUAAUUUUUAUGCAUAAAUAUGUAUAUUAAAUUAUUAUUAUUAUUUAUUAUGGUUUUAUAUUUGAUAUUUAUUAAUGUUAUUCUUAUUAAAUUGAUAUUUAUUAUGAAAUAAAUUAAAAGUUGACAAAUGUAUGGUAAUAAAUAUACAUGUGUAAUGAAUUAAAUAUGUAGUGACUAAUUUUGGCUCGGACCCGCUAAAAACCCCAAACCUAUAUAUAAAUAUAAAAUAAAUAAAUAAAUAGUAAAAUAACCACAGUCCAUUUACAGGCUUUGACCCAAAACCCAAACAACAAGCCCAGCUACAUAACCCCAUCAGCCCAAAACCAAUAACUAAACCAUGACCCAAAACCCAAUUUUAACUUAACCCAAAUUUACAAGGCCCGAUAGGCCCAGAAUAUUAAACCAAGACAAACCCUAAGUCACCCCCUUUCUCCUGCGCCGCAACAGCAACCUGACAGCAGCUCCAUGCCUCCGUACGCCCCAGCCUCCUGGCGCCACGCCCACGCCCCGUACGCCAGCGCACACCCGUACCUGCAAGCAGACAAACAGAGCAGCAGCGAAUAGAAACAAAAAUAUAUUGUAUGUUUUCGAUUUAUUUUUCUCUUUUUUCGGCGAUAAAAGCCAAGCUUUUAAUCGUUGUAAAGGUACGAAUACAAAAUAGGCAAUACGAACACAAAGAUAAUAACAAUCAAUCGAAAAAACAGAGGAGGUGAUUUUCCCUUCUCUUUUUUGAAUUCUCUGCUCUUUCUAUUUUUAUUUACUCGAUUUCUUUAUUAUUUUAUCAUCAAAAAGAAGCAAAAGAAAGUGAAGAAAUUUAUCUGCGUUCCGAAGCCUUCGAGUCCCUGCUUGUUCCGCCACCAUCGAAACACAGUGGCGAUUUGGGGCUGGUAAGCAAGACCCACGGAUCCCCUUGGUUCAAUGAAGCCUCGAUUGACUGUUCUAGGGGUUGAAAGGAGAGGCAGAGGAACAGUCGUGGGUAACCAUCGGUCGGCCGAAUAUUGAAGGGAGAAGUUUUGAUCUUUUUCUUCUUUUCUUCAUAUGAGCGGCUGAGCAUUUUCCUAGGGUUAGUUUAGGCUCUUAUGGGGGGGGUAUUAGGUGAUGCUGUUUGGGCCAAUGUCAAUGGUCUUAAAACAAUACCUUUUGGGUAGCCCUAUACCCGAUAAUCCGACCCGCACAAACUCAAGGUUCGCGUGCCUGGUCUUGGAUGGGUUAUUUUCGGCACAAGUCCCUCCCCUUUCGCGCCAUAUUCAAAUCAGCCAAUGUCCUUGUCUUGUUCGUUUUUUAAUUUGGCCCUGUAACUUACAUCCGUUUGCAAUCUAACCCACUCCUAAACGCAGCGUUUUGGAAUCUGGUAUAUUUCCAACUUUAGUCCCUAUAUGUUUUUGCGCGUUGGAUGUUGGUCCUCUUAUCAUUACUGUUUUAUCUUCUAAUUACCCCAUGUGUUUUAGUUUAAUUUUAAUCGAGUCCUUUUAUUUUAUAUCCCUUUUUAUUUGAUUUUAUUUGUAAAUUUUAAUUAAUCUUGAUAAUUGCUUCUUCAUUCUUGUAGAUUCGUUUUUCGUAAUGUUAUUAUCACAUUUUGUACAUUUUAAAUGUUCAUUUCCUUUGUAUUACUAUACAUAUUAUGUAUAUAUUAUAAUAAAGUUAAUGUAUUUUCAUACAUAUAAUGACUUUUGACUCUAUCCUUGUAUUUUAAUACGUAUUUUUUUGCUAUUCAAAUGUGCUUUGUAUAUAUAUAUUUUAUAUAAGAUUUAAGUUAUUUUAUAUUCAUUUAUAUUAGUAUAUGUAUUUGAUUCAAAUACAUUACUAAACCUAAACAUAUUAUCAUUUUUAUAUAAAUUUACACGUAUUUACAUGUGCAUAUAUACGUACUAACACACUUAUUACUUUAAUAUAUUUUUCAUUAUAAAAUACCCUUCUUUGUGAUUUACCAAAUAUUUUCUUUAUGUAUAUAUGAAGUAAUUUUAGAAACUCUUUCAAUUAAAAUUUUUUUUUUAUGUUUCUUUAUAUUACAUUGCUUUUGUAUUUUAUAUAAUCUAUCAUUUAAAUGUUUUAAUAUAGGGGUGUGUAUAAUUUUUAGGCUAUUUUAAAAAUUUAUAUAUAUCUUAUUAUUAAUCUCAUGUUCUUUUUAUAAUAUACUCGCAUGUACAUAUGUUCUAUAAAUCUAUUUUGCGCAUCUUUAUCAUUCUUUUGCAUCAUAUUUUAUCUAAAUUAUCACAUACUUUGUCAACUUUUAAAUGAAUUUGUGUUUAAAUUAUUUUACAUAUGAUUUAAUUCAAACUUUCAUUUUCUAAUAUCUAUUUCAAUAGUUAUGUUUGUUCCUAGUUUCUAUUCAAACUUGUCAACUUAUACAGCACGAGUUUAUUAAUCUUAUACCAUUUUGACUUCUAAAUUCCAUUAUGUUUUCCAUAUACUUUAUUGGUUGUUAUAUAUAUAUAUACAUUCCUUGCAUGGUAUCCAUCUUAUUGAAUUGUUAAUUACUCAUCAUACAUGAUUGAAAUUAGGUUAUAAUUUCUAGAUUAAUUAUAUUUUAAUUGAUUAUUCUGCUAAUCGAUUAAUAUUCUUGUUCAUCAAACAUCGUACCAUCAUAUGUGCCUUUUACCCCAUAUCAUCGUUUCACUUGAUUUUUGAAAUGUGGUUCUAUAAAACCCAAAUUUUUAUGAUUAAUUUUAUCUUAUUUCAAAUCCAAUUAAUACGUCUUAAGCUAGCUUUAUAACCAUUCAUUCAAAAAUUCUUUAAAACGAAGACGAGAUCUGAUAUGUUGCAAUUCGCGGAAUCGUGCCAUAAUGUGUUGGGUUGCAAUUUCGCAUUUGCUCAAAAUAAUCGAAUAUCAUUUCAAAAUUUCACUCAUAUCUUUUAAAAUCCCUUAAACGAAGGCGAUAUGCGAUAUUUGGCAAUUCGUGGAAUCGUGCCCUAACGUGUUGGGUUGCAAUUUCUCGUUUGUUUAAAAUAAUCAAAUAUCCCUUCAAAAUUUCACUCAGGUCUUCUAAAAAUCCUUUAAAAUGAAGGUAAUACUCGGUGUUUGACAAUUCAAGAAUCAUGCCUUUUCGUGCUGGGUUGUGAUUUCUCGUUUGUUCAAAACAAUCGAAUAUUCCUUUAGGUUUUCAUUCAUGUUUAUUAAAAACCUUUCAAAAUGAAGGCGAUGUUCGAUGUUUGGCGAUUUGAGAAUCGAGCCCUAUUGUGUUGGGUUGCGCUUUUUCAUUCGCUCAAAACAAUCGAAGAUCCCUUCAGAAUUUCACUCGUAUUUUCUAAGGUGAGGUAAUGUUUGAUGUUCGGAAAUUCGAGGAAUCGUGCCCUACUGUGCUGGGUUUCGAUUUUGCGUUGGACCAAAUAGUUGGGCAUCCUUUUGUUAAUUUCAAAUUAUAAACUUUCAGACGUCGAAACAAGAAGAUUUUUAGCAACCAACUCGGGUUAUUCAAAUGUUAUUAACAAGAACCGCAUUUCAAAAACAUUUUUAAUUUUAGACAUAAGGACAGUAUUUAAUUGAUUUGGUACCAAUUUUGGGCGUAAUGAGGGUGCUAAUCCUUCCUCAUACGUAACCGACUCCCGAGCCCGUUUUCUCAUAUUUUCGUAGACCAAAAUCGUUGUUUUAGAGAACCAAAAAUGUUUUAUUAAAAUAACUAAAUUCUUAGGCGACCCGAUCAUACCAAAACAAAAGGAUCGGUGGUGACUCCAUGAAUUUGUUUUUCAAACAGUCGAUUCCCCUCGUAUUUUCAUUAAAUGUUAAAAUUUUAAAAGAUUUUUAAAUAAAAGGGGUGGUUUCGACAAAAUACAUACAUGAGUAAUACAAUUAUAUAAUUACUUAUAAUAUAAGAAUUAUUAUAUUAUAUUAAUAUAAUAUAUAUAUAUAUAUAGUAAAGUAAAUGAAAUAAAGAAACAAAAGAAAAAGAAAGGAGAAAGAGUAGGGACGAAAUAAGGGAAGGAAAGAAGGAAAAACAAAGGAAAGAAAGAAAAAGGGAAAAUUGGGGGUUUGAUGCUUCAAGCUUAAAUAGGUAAGUCAAUUUAGCCCUUUUUACUUAAUUUUUAUGUUUUAGAAGCUUUGGAACAAGGUUUUGAUGAAAUUAAGUUGAUAUAUUGAAAGUUAUUGGAUUUCUAAAUAUGGUUCAUGUUGAAUAAAAUGAUGAAUUAAGGGCUAAAUUGAUAAAAAUUUAAGUUAGAAGUGAGAUAAGCAUUGAAUUGUAAAGUAAUUCAUAAGUUUUGAAUAGUAGGGACUAAAUUGAAAGAAUUUCAAAAUUAUGGUUCUAUGCUGAAAUUAGAGAGCUGAAAUUAGUUUAAAGUGAAAAUUGAAUGAAAAUAUUAAGUUAAAUGUAAAGAAUAAAAGUUAGUCUCGGUUUGGGACUAAAUUGGAAUUCAGACAAAAGUUGAAUAAAAAUUGAAACAUUCAAUUUGAAAAUUGUACUGUAUUAAUGAUUAUAAAUUGUAUUAAUUUUAUAGCUAACGGGGUGACGGAAAAUCUUCGGUUAAGAAAGGAAAAGACGAGGUCAACGAGGGUUAGCUUGGAAAUUACGGUUUGUGUUUUUAUAAUCCGAACUUAAUAUUUAAUUGUUGAAUUUAUUAUUUAAUGUACAGGGUGAUGCAUUAAAAAGUGAAAAUUAAUUGUUAAUUAUUAUAUUUUGAUUGAAUGUUAUGGUAAGUAAUUAAGGUAAGCAUUAUUGUGUUUUAUGAUUAUUGAAAUGAAUCAAAAUGUAUAUUGUAUUGCAACUGAAUUGCAUGUAGAUUGAUAUGGAAAAAUGUAUUAAAUUGAAUUGAAAUUAAAUUACGAAUAAAAUUGAAAAUUUAAAAGUUUACUGAAUACCCUAUUAACAGUGUCGGGCUAGUCGGAUAUAAUUGGGAUGCUAUAGGAUUGGAAGUGUUCAGGGAUAUUCUGACUGUGCGUCGAUGAGACACUAUAUGUGUCGACUACUGUGACUGUUCCGGAUUCGUUCCGAAGAGGUACUUCGUACCUGACUGUUACUGUUACUGUUUCAGAUUUGUUCUGAUGAGGUACUUUGUGUACCGCUACUGUUACUAUUACUGUUACUGUUACCCUUACGGUGUAUUUCGGCUUCUGCCGAUGAAACACUAUAUACUAUCCCCGGUGUGUGGGUUAGAUCCGUGUAUCCGUUUAGGUCCGAGUCAUGUUAAUAGGGGUAAUGAAAAAUAUCAAAGACUGUCUGCUACUGAAUAAUUGACUGUUACAGAAUAAACGACUGAUACUGAAUAAAUGAAUAUUACUGAUUAACCGAUUAUUACUGUUGAUUGACUAGUACUGAACGAUAAGAAUCAAUUGGUUGGUACCAAAGAAUAUUGACUAUUAUUGAAAUGAGAUAGUACAAAAUAUUAAAUGAAAGGUGAAUAAUAUUAUUACUCAAAUGAAUUGUAAAUAAAAGUACUGAAAAACUAAUUGUUAUUGAAUAAUGGAUUGCUACUGAAUGUCUGAAUGAUACUGAACACAGGUUAUUACUGAAUAAAUAUGAAAAAUCGACGCAUAAUGAAUAAACAUUGAAACUGUAUACAUUUCAUCGAAAGUGAUUAACAAGAUUUUAACAUUAUAUAUAUAUCAAAAAAAUGAUUGAAUUAUUAGGAGUAAUAGAUUGAAUUCUCAAGGUUCUUUGAUAUAUGAUUUAUUAUUGACUUAAGUAUCGGUUUAUAGAAAUACCACUAAGUUCAUACUCAGCGUACGGUUUGUUUCCGUGCGCAGGUUAGGUUAAAGACAGAUCGUCGAAUCAGCAUCAUAAGUCGAUCCCGAACUCAAAAAGGUAAAGCAUGUUAAUUAUCGGUAAUGGCAUGUACCUAGGAUGUCUUAAGUGUGUUAUAUUGGAUUGUAAUUGUAAUUGUAAUAGUGAAAUAAGUAAAUUGAUAAUUGAUAAUGAUACAUAAUAAGUGUUUAAAGUUAAGUAUUAGAUAAUAUAUAAAAUGCGUUUGAAUUGGUUUAAUAUUGGUAUUUGUAUUGGUUGUGGAUUAAAAUUUACAGGAUUGGUAAAUUUUUAAAAUACAAGGUUCAUUUUGAGUUCACAUAGUUUGUCACAUGGGCGUGUGCCUUGGUUGCCACGGCCGUAUCUUAAAGUCAGUUUAGUACACGGGCAGGCCACAUGGACGUGUGUCAUGGCCGUGUUUAAAAGUCAAUGUUGCACACGGGUUGAGGACACGGGCGUGUCCCAUGCCGCACGGGCAUGUUAAAUUAGCCACACGGGCGUGUGGUACUAUUCAAAAGAAGAAAAUUUAAAAUUUCACAAAAAAUUUACUAAGCUUUAGAAUUGAAUCUCGAUUUGUUUUAAUUACACUUGUAAAGUACUGUGGACCCAUUAAAAUUAUAUUUAGAUGGAUAUAUUGCAUUUAUACUAGUUUAUGUGCAAAUGUACUGAAUGACUGGUAAUACUCUGCAAUCUUGUUCCGAUAACGGGACGGGGUUAAGGGUGUUACACUUACGUAUCGAUACCAUUUUAAGGUUCGAUGGUUUGCAAAAAUCAAAUAAAAACCUAACGUAUCGAUACCCUUGUAAAGUAUCGAUACUCUGAUAUACAUUAUUAAUACUUUAGUUCAGUAUCGAUAUCAUUUUGGGACUCGAUGUUUGAAAAAUUGAUUGGAAAAUACUAAAUAUCGAUACCUUCUCCUAUUAUAUCAAUACUUUAGUGUCAAAUAUGUCAAAAUCUUCCAUUUUAGUAUCCAUUUCAUGCCCAAACCAAAAUAUACUCAAAUGGUGCCUAUAAGCACACUCCAAUUCAAAACAUAUACCAAACAUUCAUUUUACCAUUUCCAUAAUCACCAAACUAUUAUGCAUCAAUUAGACAUUUAAACAUGUCAUUUAAAGCUGUGAAUUUAUAAAUUAUUCAAACAUACUUCAUCAUUUAAUUCUAUCUUUUUAUCCAAACCAUCAUACAACCAAAUUUGCUACUCAUGUUUCAUGUUUAGCUGAAUAUAAUGCCAAACAUAUACACUUUUAUGCUUAAAUAUUAACAAUCUCAUAUUCAAGCAUCAACCAUAGUUCAAAUCAAACUCGCAUCCAAAAUAAACACUAAUAUGUUAACGUCUAAGUACAUGCCACAUAACUGAUAUUAAAACAAGCAAAAUGUAUCGAAUCGAUAACAGGAUAGUGUGGGCUUCAAGGUGAUCCGAUCGACGUGUUCCGCAAAUAAACAAUCUACAUAAAUAGGAAAAAAACUAAGUAAGCAUUUUGAAUGCUCAGUAAAUCUAUACGUACUAAAAAAAUAAACUUACCUCAAUUUACAAUAAAAACAUAUCAAACUAAUUAACUCGACAUAAUUUGUCUGACACAGCAUUUCACAAUAAUAAGAUGAUUUCAUCACACAACCGAGUCAUAUACCAAUUCAACAUUUAAUAUGGUAUUCAAUUUAGUACAAUUCACAUAGAAUCCACAAUUCAAUUCUGUAUGCAAUAUCAAAUCAUCAUAUUUGCAUUUGAACCUCAAACUCAUAACAUUUCGUUGUCAUUUCUCUUUUUUAUUAAUCAUUUAACCGGAUGAACUAUAGUAAACAUAUUUGGAUACACGCGUAACUAUGCCACACUAAUUGUUUGUUACAGCAGUAACUACACAACACCAGAGCACUAAAAUGCAAAACCCGUAGGCAACAUAUAAUUGUAUAACAAUACAUCCCUCCACCACACCGGAGUCUCCGUAGAGGCAUAUAACUCAGUAAUUUGAAAGAAAUGUUGGAUUCCGAUAUAAUCAGCAAUAACUUUGUACCAUCACAUAUCUCUCGUACCAGCGCGCAAAUAACCUUUUUGGCAUGUCAGUCGUAUCCUAGCCUUUAAUACGUUCACUCGGCACAUUUAACACAUCACCUUUUGUACCAAAUUGUAAACAAUUCUAAUUACAUUUACAUACAAACAAAAUCAUAAUUCAACAUAUAUACAUUAAAACUACAUAUAACUACACCAUAUGAACUUACUUGGCAAAAACAACAACAACAAGACGUCGAUGACUAAUAUACAAUUUGUUUAUAUUUUAAUUUGCUUUUAUUUUUAUUUUUUAAAUAUACUUAUUUCAUAUUUAUGUUUAAUAUGUAUCGGUACAAAGUUAUAGUUUUUUAAUUACAUAAAAUUUAGAGAAACAUAAUUUUAAUUGAUUUAUUUUUAUAUAUUUGAAGUAAAACCAACAUUUUUAGAGGAAUAAUCAAGUUUUUACCAUCAAAACACCAACACAACAUAAUUAUUUUAACACGAUAUGUUAACACAUUUAAAAUUAUUUAUUUAAGUUUUGACAUGAUACUACAUGAUUAUGACACAAAUAAUUUAUUCUAAAAAAAGAUUUGUUAUACUUCCUUUACGUGUCAUCAACAAGCAAACUUCAGGUUAACGUAUUCACACCGGGUGAACUUUUAAUCAGGAGAGUCUAGUGAACCUUGGGCACCAGUAGACUGGCAAACCUUCUCAAGACUAUCCUCACUAGAUUCACAUGGGGUGUUAGGUUCAUUAAUUAUUCAAUUGUUCUAAGAAGUUACAUUGCUGCCAUUGCAAAAGAACAAAAUAUAACUCUACUGUUAGCAAGCUCAUGUGCAUAGACUCUCUUGUCUCCUGUAUAUAAAUUCACUACAACAUUUGAGAAAGAGAUUAAGACACAAAAACUACUUCUCUUUCCUCUUCAUAUUUAAACCUACCUCCUCAAACAAUUUUACGAAACUCUUCUUUCAGUAGCUCAUUGCCCUAACCAAAGGUGAACUACUACUAUAACCAUUGUCUUUUCCUCUUUAUGAAUCUCAUUAAGGUCAACCAAUCAAUAUUAAUUGGGUUAGUCAAAUAUAUUUUAAAAUUAUUUGAUUAAAUGAGAAAAAUUGCUCAUUCCUAAAAUGAAAAAAAAUACUAAACAAAGUAGGAAGAUAUGAUUAAACUUGUCGGCCCGAAGGCCCGUCCAAAAAGUGGGAGAGUUUGAAUAAAAAUAUAAACUCAAAAAAUAGGCUUGGACAAAAAAAAAUAAUGCUUGUUUAGAAAACUAGUCCGACCUCAAGUAAGGCUUUUUUGGCCUGAGUCCUGCCCGAAUUUGCAAAAAAAAAAAUUAUUAUUUUGUUGUUUUCUUGCUAUUUUGUUGCUAUUUUUUUGUUGUUUUCUCACUAUUUUGCUAUAAUUUUACUAUUAUGUUGCUACUAUUUUGUUGUUAUUGUUUAGAUAUUAUAUAAGUCUCGUUUUAUUGUUAAUUUUAUUACUAUUUUAGAGACAUUUACUUAUUAAAUUGUACAUAUUUUAAUAUUAUUUAAGUAUACAUAUUUUUUAAAUUUAUUUUUAAGUUAAUGAAAAAUAUUUAUUUUAAUAUUUUUAAUAUUUUUAAUAUUUUUAAAAUAUAUAAAUAAAUUAAUACAGGUAGCCUGAACUAAGCUGAAAUUUUAAUAUUUUUAUUUCAACUAAACUCAAACAAAAUUUUAAACCUAUUUUCGAGCCUAAUCUAAAUCUAUAAAUCAAACUUAACUUUUUAUUAAGCCCAACCCCACCAACAUCACCUCUAAAUAUGAUAUAACCAGGACAAAAGAAAAACAAAAAGUAAUCGUUUACGCAUCGUGUUACGUGUUAUAACUUAAGAAGAAAAAGGCAAGAGAAAACAAACAAAAAAGAAUGUCAUGCAACCAUUUUCCAACAUAUAGCAUGUUGCUUGGUAUACCAAACUCUCCCGUGACUCAUUAUUUUUAUUAUUUUAUAUGUACCUUCAAAUUUAUAUGAGCAAAGUUUGGUGUCGCCUUUUAUUUUUUCUCUAUUUAGAUCAGAUAAUUUUAGAUACAAUAAAUUAAUAUAUAUAAAAAAAAAACAUAAAUGUGCUUAUAAAUAUAUUAAUAUAUAAAUGUCACGAGUUAAAAUUUUAAUUUCGUAACUCAAGUGGCUUUAGACGAUUUCUUAAUUUUAAAUUCGUUUAAGUUAGCUUAACUCUUAGAAAGUAAGAAUUCAUACAGAAAAUUCUUUAAAGCACUGAAAAUAAAACGGAAGUAACUUAAAAGACAAAUAAGCAACAAAACAACAAAAAAAUCUAUAAGAAAAUAACGCUCACAAAGUAUUUGAGUAAAUUGUGUCAAAUUAUAUUGACUAACUUUAUAUGAGAUACAUUUAGAUAAUUACAAAUGAGAGGAGAAAAUUCUAUUUAUAAUUGAGCUUCUCUAUAUCUAAACGUACAAUUUACUCUACAUAUCUAAAUACAAAUGAGGGAAAAUACUCUAUUUAUAGUUGAGAUCUUCAAGGUCUAACCGUAUAAUUUACUUUAUAUCAAUGGUCAAGAUUAAAGCCUAUCUAUAAUUAAGAUUAUUAAGGGAUUUACAUGAUCCACUAAGAUUAUAAUCAAAUCUUAUCAGAUUACAUAUAUUAUUUUUCAUAUUUACUUAGGUAGUCCUAAUUUUCAUUAAGCGAUUCACUACUUCUCCACAUAUUUCACAUGUUCCACUAUGUGCACAUUCAUCAAAGACUUUAAUCCACAGCACGUGGCAUAAACAUAAAUACCUAAAAAAAUUUAUUAAUUACGAAAAUACUCACUUUCAAAAUCAUGUACGUAAAACCUUCGGUGUCGUCAUUGCCAUUGACGAUACCGAAAUUUACUAUUCAAAAUAGGUCAUUCUUAUACACGAUUUUAUAAAUGAGUCAUUUUCAUAAGUAAUUAAUUUAUUUAGAUUAUUUUUGAAAAAAAAACCAAUUAUAUAUAGUAUUUUGGGGACAUGGGAAUAGGGAUCUUUCUUCAGAGUUGAAAAAUAAAUUUUUGGAGUGUGUGAGUCCCGUGAACUUAGUGGACCUACCCGUCAAAUUUUCUUCGAUUAUGACACCUAGGACAACCAGGCACAACUCUUUUUUUCAUUUUUUUUAUUUAUUGAUAUAAAAUUAUUUUAAAAAUGAAUUUCAGCUCACAAAAUAUCAUAUUUCACUUAUUCCGAAUAUGCCAAAAUGUAUGAAUAUUUUUAAAAUAUAUAAAUAAUUAAAUAUAAUUACAAAAAUUACCAAUUUGUGAGAACAUAGGGACAACAUUAAUAUAUUUAUUUGAGAAAAAGAUGGCAAAUAAUCCAAAGCUAUUAUUAGAGGGAUGGAAUUCUGCCCCUACCCGUUAUUCAUCUCUUUCUUGGGAAAAAUGUCAUCUCCUGACCAACUCAGACCAUCUCAUGACAAAACUCAUAUAUAUAUAUAUAUUUAAAAUUAUUAUGUUUACUUUUCUUGUAUUAUAUAUUUUUACUAUGCUUAAUUUUAUUUUAUUUUUUAAAUUUUGGAAUCUUAAAAUUAUCACUAUUCACGUGAUGAAACAAGGAAAUAGAAUAUAAAAAUUAAAAUAUGCCAAAAAAAAAUUUCUUAAAAAAUGAUUUACUUUAUAAUUGAAUUGAAGUAGGUUGAAAUUGUGAAAUAUAUAAAUUAUAUAAAAAAAUCUUAAAAUUAUAUAUUAACUUUAAUUUAAUGUGUAAUUGUAUACAUGAACUUUAAUUUAGUGUAAUUAUACACGUGAAAACUCUAAUUGUGGUUAAAUGUAUAUUUGAAACUUUAAUUUUGAUUUAAUCAUACACAUUUAAAGAAAUAAAUACAUCAAUUUAUUUUUAUAUUGGAUAAAUUUAAUUAUUUAUGUAUGCAAUAUAUAUAUAUAUAUAUAUAUAAAUUUUAUAUCAAUAAUUGUGUUAAUAAUUUACAAGAAUUUGAUCAAAUCAAAAUUUCAUAUAUAAAAUUACACGAAAUCAAAGUUCAUGUAUACAAUUGCAUAUUAACCGUAGUUCAUGUACAAUUUUACUAUUUAUCCCUUGAUUAUGUAAUAGUUAAAUUUCAAGUAAGUGAAGUAUUGAGUAAGAUAAAAAAUUCUAAAGAUUUUUAAAUGUAAAAAUUUUGUAUAUUUUCAAUGGAUUUAUUAUUAAUUUGAUUAUUUUUAAUCUUUUUACUUUUCGAAAUGUAUAUUUUUAAUUUCGAGGUCAAGCUUUUUUUUAUCGAUUUUGUCAAAUAAUCUGACGUGACUUAUUUUUAAAAUAUAUGAUGUUGUGAUAUAUAUACCUUAAUAAUUUUUUGCAUAUUUAAAAAGAUAAAAAAAAUAGUAUAAUAUUUAUCCAAUGGUACAAGAUAUGUCGAGAUGCAUAUGCUACAUCACCAUAUGUUUAAAAAUAUAUGAGAGAAUUAACUGAAAACGUUAUCCUCAAAAAUAAAAAUACACUUUUUAAAAAGUAGAGGGAUAGAAAACUUUCAAAUUAUAAUAGAAGCAUUAUAUCUUCCAAAAACACAUAGCACAAUGACUUUCUAUACAAUUUGAUAAAAAAAAUUUCAACCAUUGAAUAUGUAUUUAUAAAAACAACAUUUUAACCUAGUAUUUAUUGGUGGAAAAUUUUCUCUCUAGCUCUGAUACCAAUUUAAAAAAUUACGCUUAUUCUUGAUUGUCGCAAGUUUAAAUAUUUGGUAAGUUACGAUUGUACCAAGUGACAAGUCUAAAGUAAGAAAAGAAAUGAACACGAUAUACUUGUUUAUGUAAUGUGAACUCAUUAUAUAAAUGCGGAGUCUUGCCUAGAGAGCUAAUUCAUUAUACUUCCAAUGAGUACAAGGAAUAACCAAUAGUUUAAGUUCUAUACGCUCACUAUGUAGUAACCUCACUCUUCUAUUCUAAUUUGGAUAACUCUUUACUAAAGUUUUUCUCUUGAAAGAUUAGUUAUAAACUAAGUGGUUCACUUGAGUUUACUUACAAUUUUGUACUCGAAAUAUUGGGUCCUUUAUGAAAAAUGAAAAGUGUUUUCUCAAUUAAUUUUUACUCAAUACAAGCUAAACAUAUGUAAGAGUUUUAGGUUACUCUAUAAAUCAAUUACAAUCAUAUUAUCUUAUAUACAAAACGGUUUUCAAUUAUACUCGUAAAGGCUAAGGUAAGGAUUGAGAUAUUCAAAAUAUUCUGGAGCCAACAUGAUCCAAUCUCUAUAAAUAAGGAAACUUGGAUUACUUUGAAACAUUCUGAUCCAAUCCUUUGAAAUUUGAUUCUGCACAAAUGAACACCAUAGGUGACCAUAGAUAAUAUUUAGAGAUAACCAAUUUAACGUAUAACACAUUUUGGCUAAAAAAGAUUGCCAACACAAAUAAGAUGAGUUUUGGUUUAUUCGAACUAUGUUUCAAGUUAGAACUUUUGCCGUAAUUAGAAAUAAAAAAUACUUCUAAAACUUGUAUUAAAAAUAAAAAAAUAGUUUUCUCAAUUAAGUAAUGUCUAAGGUAAAUAUUAUUAUAGUGAGAUCUUUUUUAAAUUAACGACCAAAUAAGGACAUUGUAAUAAUUUGAUCAAACCAUCUAAAAAGUUAGGAACUUGAGUUGGUGACCUAAACAUUGUUAAAUCAGGUAUUGAAUUAGUUACUUUUAUUUAAAAAUUAGUUUAUUUAUUUUAUGUCGAAAGUAGUUGAACUGUUUAAAAGAUAAAUUUACAUUUCUCAAUGUAAAUCUUACGUGACACGAUCAACAAAGGAUUGAUGUUUCUUCUCCUCCUUAUUUACUUCGAUCAUUGAUUUAAAAGACACCCACUAUAAUAAAAUCUUUAAAUAGAUAUCACUCAAUGUUGUUUGAGUCAGACCAUAUCAGCCGAUCAAAUUAACUGGAUCGAUAAUCAAUCAAAGUACUAAUCCGAAAAAUAGCUUUAGAUUAACUAAAUCAAGAAUUGAUAUUAACCGAUUAAACCUACUCUAAACCAAUUGAAUCGGUGGAGCCGAAUUUUUAAAAUUUUAACAUUGAUGCGACACUCAAUUGAUAUUAUAAAGAUGCCAAAUUGAUUCAGAAUUUACACAGAUAUAUAUAUAUAUACAUGCAAUCUUUGUUCCAACUGAAACAACUUCCGGUUGUUUUAAUGGCAAGUCUAGUUUUAAUGCACACUUCUCUCCUAUUUUUAUCCACUCUUUUUAUUUGUGUUCAUCUCUCAGACCAGUUUCAACCAUUUCAAUACAAUGCUCUCAAGCAAAUCCAGCAGUUCCUCAAUUACCCAUCGGUUCUUACCAUCUUUGACAGCACUUGGGAUUUCUGCAACGUCGAACCAUCGCCAUUUUUAACUAUAGUUUGUUACGAAGACAAUGUAACCCAGCUUCACAUCACAGGCAACAAUGGCGUUUUCCCACCAUCGUUGCCCCAAAAUUUCUCCAUUGAUGCUCUGUUUUCAAGCAUUUCAAGUUUAUCAAAUCUCAAAGUCCUUUCUUUGGUUUCAUUAGGUUUAUGGGGUCCUUUACCUGCUACUAUCGGUAAGCUUUCUUCCAUGGAAAUACUCAAUUUAAGCUCCAAUUACAUCGAUGGUUUUAUCCCUUUGGAACUUUCAUAUUUGAACAAUUUGCAGACACUUGUUCUUGAUCAUAACAAGUUCACUGGUCAAAUCCCUCGGUGGGUUUCUUCUUUUAAUGAUUUAGCUGUUUUGAGUUUGAAAAAUAAUUCACUUUUUGGGUCACUUCCAAGCUCCAUUUCAAGCUCUGACAACCUUCGAGUUUUGGCUAUGGCGGAUAAUCAUUUAUUUGGGGAAAUACCCGGUCUUCAAAACUUGACAAAUCUUCAAAUACUUGAUCUAAAAAACAAUUAUUUUGGCCCAAAUUUCCCUGUUCUACAUCACAAGGUCGUCACUGUUGAUAUCCGUAACAACAGUUUUAAAUCCAGUGUUCCAAAUGAAUUAAACUCUUAUUUUCAGCUUGAAAAGCUUGAUAUCUCCAUUAAUGGACUCAUUGGACCUUUCCCUCCAUCUUUAUUUUCACUGCCUUCCAUUAAUUACAUCGAUAUCUCCGGUAAUAAACUCACCGGCAAGCUGUUUCAAAACAUGUCUUGCAAUGCACACCUUGUGUUUAUUAAUUUGUCUUCGAAUCUUUUAACCGGCGAGCUGCCGGCGUGUCUGCAAGAAAAAGUCGAGGAAGGGGCUGUUUCUUAUGACGGGAACUGCUUGUCCGGUGAAGAAGGAAAUCAAAAGCCUUCGAGUUUCUGCCAUAACGAAGCGUUGGCCGUCGAAGUUUCGCCUCAAAAGUUGCGGCAUAAAGAACGUAAAGCCAUGGCUGUGCUUGUAUCGAGUUUAGUGGGAGGGAUCGUUGGAUUAGCUGUGAUAGUUGGUUUGAGUUUAUGGGUUUUUCAGAGAAGAAAUAGAAGGGCGGCCAUGAAAGGACCUUCAACAAGGUUGAUAACUGAGAAGCUUUCAACAGUUAAUACAGUGAAGCUAUUAUCUGAUGCAAGUAAGAUUCGCUCUCUCUCUCUCUCUCUCUCCAUUUUUCAACCUCUAAUCCUAAAAAAAUCAAUGUAAAAUUAAAAAUAAUUUUAUACAUUUUCAUAAUUUUUAUAUGAUUAAUAUUUUAACAUUUAAUUAUACAUGUAAAAUUUGAUGUAAAUUUAAAAUUUUUAAUUAUUUUAUAUAAAAAAUUCAACGAUAAAUAUAUAUGAAUAUAUAGAGUAUUUUAAAUUGAUAUGAUAGAGAUAUCGGAUCGAUUCGAAAAUUUGCAUGCAUGACAAAUAUAAUUAUAUUGAUAAAUUUAAUGUUUGAAUCGUUCAAAUAUUAAUCAUAUAAAUAGUUAUGGAAGUGUGUAAAUAGGGGGGAAGCCUAAAAUUUUUUUCAGGGACGGUUAAAAUUAAAUUUUAAUUUUUAAUAGUCUAUCUCUUUAUAAAUUUUAAAGGAUUAAAUUAUUUUUAUUAUUUUUAGGGGGGCAAAGUGUAAUUUUAUUUGUACUUAUUUAAAAUUUUAAAAUUUUUAAAUGACCUAAAUAGAUAAUUUUCCAUUUUAAGGGAUUAGGGCACCUCCCAACCCUCUAGAUACACCACUGUAUGUGAAACUAUUUUAAUUUUCAUACUAUGUAAAUGGAUCCCUCCUCAUAUAUAUAUAUACAUGUAUGAGAUAUAUGAUAGGUAUCUAUACUGUAUAUUAAGAAUUUACAGAGUUGAUAUUACAAGUAAACUGGGUAUAAACUCAAUUGGAUAAUGACUAAAAUAGUUUUACUUUACAAAGUGAAUUGUAUUAUUUUGAAUGUAUUUUAUUAUUUUUGUAAAAAAAUAAGAAAAAUAUACGCAAAUUAUAGGAUUUGAACCUAACUUUUAUAGUUAUUUAACAUUUAUACUUUAUAUAAAUAAAAAGAAAAUUAUACUAAUAUUGUUAUUAAUACUAAUUAUAAAGUUUUUAAUUCAAAGUUAAGUUACAUCAAUACAAAGACAAAGAUAAUAAAAAAGUUUAAAAUAAUAAUAAAUUAAGGGAAUAAUCUAUAUUAAAAUAAAAAUAAAAUUUUUUAUUUUUAAAUAUGAAUCAAAUAAUGCCACAUCAUUAAUUUUUAAAGAGAUAAAUAAAUUAUUAUUAUUAUACAUUUUAUUAUAUUUAAUAUCUUCUCUAAUUCAAUUUAACCUUAAUUAAAUGUGACAAAAUUAAAAAGAAAGUAUAAUAAUUACAUUUUAUGACAAUAUUUAUUAUAAUAAUCAGGAUUAAUUGUAAAAUAAAUAUUUUAUGUUUUAAUUUUAGGCUCUAUAACAUCAACAGCCUUAAAAUAUGAAGUGCCUUAUUUACAAAAUUUAUUCUCUAUAAUAAUUUUGUCUUAAAUUUUAAUAAAUUCAGUUCUAUCUUAAGUGAAAUAAAAAUAAUAAAUUUUAACCAAAAUAUUAUUUUAAUAAAAUGUUUAAAUUUUAUAUAAAAAAUAUAUUCGUAUUUUAUAUAAUGAAAACAAAUAUAUAUUAUAGUUUUAAAUUUAAUGUUUUUAAAAAAAUAUUCAAAUAUAAUCUAAAUCUUAGAUGUUGUUAUAAGUAUCUUAAAUGCUAUUAUAAGUGUAUAACAGCUACUUCUAUAUAAUAUUUAAUUUUUUGUCAAAUAAAUGAGACUGUGGUACAGAGAAUUAACUAUAUAUGUUACAUUGAUUUGGUACGAAGAUCAAGUAUAUUGUAUGCUUGACAAAAGAAAAUCAAAUAUCAUUUUAAAAAUAAAUACAAAUAUAAAUAUUUUAAGAAAAAUAAAGAGUUCGAAUAAUGGUAAGAUGUGACUAGGCCUGUUUAUGGUAUACACUCAAGUCUAGUGGCUUACCCAAUAUUUAAGAGGAUUUAAGCAAAAAUAUUAAGCUUAAAAAUGAGUUUAGAAAAAAAAUUAGGCCCGAUUAAAUACAUUCAAAGCUUGAGCCUGACCCGGCUUAUUUUUCAAAUUUGUCAUGUUUUAUAUCAUGUUGUUUUUAUAUAUUAUGUGAUUUAUAAUAUAUAAAAGAUUAAAUCUAUUGUAAUAUAUGAUACUAAACAUUAAAAAAAUAAGAUGAUUAUAUAUUAAACUAUAAUAAAUAAAAAAAAUAAAAUAUUAAAAUAAAAUAAAAUAAAUAUAUAUUUAAAAAAAUAAUAUAUGCAGUCAAAAAUGAGUUUGGGUUAACCAUUUCAUAAAUAUAGAUGGCUUUGGACAAAAUGAUAGGUCAUAUAUUAGGUUGGACCGAACUUAGACAAACAUAAAAUAUGUUCAUAUCAUACUUAAACCCGACUCAUGAACAAUUCUAAAUAUUACUUUUGGUGAUUUUUUUUUUUUUUUUUGGUAUAAAUUGCAGGGUAUAUAUCAGAAACAAUGAAGAUGGGAGCAAACCUCCCUACAUAUCGUGCCUUUGCUUUGGAAGAACUAAAGGAGGCUACUAAUAAUUUCUCUCAUCCAUCCAUCGUUGGUGAACCUUCACUUAUUCAAGUAUGUACCUUAUACGAAUAUUUUUUAUUUUAUAUAUAUUAAUAAAAAUUAAUGAAUCAUGUCAUUUUAUUUAUGUCCAAAAUACGAAUCUAAUUGCUAUCUAAUUUUUCUUAUAUAUUUUAAUCGUUGGUUGCUGGUUAAUUUUAUAUAAAGAUUCUAAUUUAGACUAUUUUUGAAAAAAGUGAAUAUUUGAUUUAUAAAUUACAAUUCGUAAUUCAAAUGACUAAUUUUAUUAAUAUUGAGAAGGGUCUUAAAGAAUCAUAUCUUUAUAUUCAUGUUGGACGAAUUAUUAGGCAUGAAUGCUUUAAGAAAAUUAAAUAGCCGGAAUAAUAUAAGAUUACAAUCUAUCGAUGUUUACAACUAUGUUACUCAUAUAAGGCGUAACCAGGGAGUUGUGCUUGUCACCUUAGUCCGGCCCUUGGGUGUAAUUGUCAGACCCGGCGGGUUGGUGGGCGGUAGUCGUGAAUAUCAUAACAAUUUUUAUAAAGUUUUUUCUUUAUCAUUGAACUAAUCAAAUUACUCAUUCUCUGUUUAAUUGUUAUAAAAUAAAAUUUUUCAAAGAAAAAAGAGUUGAUAUUUCUAUCUAAAAUUCUUCUUUGGGUAUAGCAUGUGAUUCACACUCAAGUAUAAGUGUGAUUUAUGGACAUGUAGUUGGUUAAUUAUACUGUAGUAUUGUUAUGUUCAUAUGAUUCAGCAAAAAUUAAGUUUGAUGAUUGAAGAACUUACAUUAUUUGUAUUAAAUAAAAAUGACAGAUUUACAGAGGAAAACUUGGAGAUGGAACAGCAAUUGUGAUCAGAAGCAUAAAGAUGAGAAAAAAACACAGCCCCACCAUGUUUACACAACACAUAGAGAUGAUCUCAAGACUCAGACACAACCACUUGGUUAGUUGCAUUGGUCACUGUUUCGAAUGUUGCCCUGAUGAUUCAACCGUCGGCAUCGUAUAUUUCGUGUUCGAAUCCCUUCCAAAUGGCACCUUGAGAAGUUCCAUUUGUGGUAAAUCCUAUCCAUUUCUAUCAUAUGCACGUGUUGGGAACGAAUACGUGUUUGAAUGUGAAUGUGAAUGUGAAUAUAAGCUAAUAUAGUUAAAUACAAAUACGCGUCCGAGCAGGUGGAGGGGAAACGCUGAAUUGGGCACAAAGAAUAAUAGCAGGAAUAGGGGUAGCAAAGGGGAUACAAUUCCUGCAUACUGGGAUCAUGCCAGGAGUUUUCUCAAAUCAUUUGAAGAUUACUGAUGUUUUGUUGGAUCCCAAUUUCCAUGUCAAGAUUUGCACUUAUAAUCUCCCUCUUUUAGCUCAUCAAAAUGCUGGAUUUAUGGUAUGAAAACUAGUAAUUUACAAUCAACAACAUUUAGCCACGAACUUAGUAUUCUUUUUCUUAUACUUUGGUCCUUAAACUUUUGGUUCACAUUAGUUCUUAAUUUUGACGGUUUUCUCUUCUUUUGGUCCCUAUAAUAACUUGACACUCGUGUCACAUCAUUAUAUAGACCAAAACUGAGAAAAGCUACUAGCUUCCAAGAUGAAUGUGUACAGACAAAAAAAAAAAAACUUGAAGGGCUAAAUUGAGAAAAAUUACCAAAUUGAGGGACUAAAUAUUACUUUAUCCCUAUUAUAAUUGAUAGAUUUAUUAUAAACAAAAAUAAGUUGUUUGAGUUAAAUGCAUAUUAACUUUUUUUUUUUUUAUCAAUUUCAGGGUGGUGCUGCAGUUUCUUCUAAUGGACUCAAAUCAAACAUUGGAGGAAGGUACACUUCUUAAUUUCUAAAUAACUUUAUAUAUGAUAAUUACAAUACCGAUAUACAAGUGUCUUAAAAUUUAUAUAAAAUAUGAUUAUAACAAAAUAAAUAUUAAUUUUGGCACUAAAAAUGCAGGGAAAAAGAGGUAGAGAAGGAUGAUAUUUAUGACUUUGGUGUAAUAUUGAUGGAAAUUCUGGUGGGAAGGCCAAUCAUGUCCCAAAAUGAUGUUAUGGUUGUCAAAGAUAUUGUGAGUUAUUUCUUUAAUUUUUAUGAAUUUAGUAAUAUUAGACACGAUAUGAUUAUCCGAUUUAAAAAUAACAAAAUAAAUCAUUAAAAUAUAAUAUAACAUAAAUACAAAUACACAAAAUUACAGAUAACAAAAUAAAAAACAUGAACAUGGGUUUAGGUUUUAAGGCAAAACUAAAAACUGUGUGCAGAUACAAGUGAGCAAUAAGAUGGAUGAUACGGCUCGAAGAAGCAUAGUGGACCCCACAAUUAUCAAAGAAUGCUCAACUGAAUCCUUGAAGACAGUGAUGGACAUAUGCCUGAGAUGCCUGUCCGAUGACCCGACCGCUCGACCUUCCAUUGAAGAUGUCCUAUGGACCUUGCAAUUUGCGGCUCAACUUCAGGAUCCAUGGCGACAUGAUUCUCACCACAUCCAUCGUCUAUCUGACUCGAAUCCGAAUAACUUACAAGAACAAAUUUCUCGUGGAUAAACCUGCUGAUGGCUUUUGGAAUUUAUAGUUUGCAGCCAUCACUGAUUUGUAAACUGCAUAUGAACAAGUUCAAUACUGCUAAUGAUUGCAUAAAUGACUAUUUCAUGCAUAAAUGACUGCAUAAGUCUACGCAAAUGAUAUCUUUAGUUUCAAGUUCAAUACUGCUAAUGACCAAUGUAUAUGAACAAGUCAACACCAAAUGAGAUACUCCAUCCAUUCGUGGCCCAAUGAAGUUGCUAAGAAAAAUAGAAUACCAUUGAAAAAAUCACAGACAUAUAUUUUUACUAAAGUAAAAGCUCGUAUCAUGAUGCUGCCUUGGAUCAUAAAUCACCAUCUGAGACGUAUCUGGACGAAGAACUUUAAGAGAAGCAGUUGAAACACCAGAUGGCGCUGAUGUACUCUUAAUCUGCACAAAUGAAAACAAAAUUUAGCCCAAUGAGUAUUAAUAGUAACCUGGAACAAGAAUAAAAAGAAGCGGUUUACCUGUCAUUGCAGAUCCAUUAAUAGUAACCUGGAACAAGAAUAAAAAGAAGCGGUUUACCUGUCAUUGCAGAUCCAUUAGAGAGCUGACGUAUCCACUUUCUUACCAAUGUUUUUAGCGAGCCACUGAAGAGAAUACCAAUGGAGCUCAAAAAUUUGCAAAUGCAAUUUCAAUGAUUCAAACAUAGAGGCACAGAAGCAAUUUUACGAGUUAUAGGUACAGUUUUCAAAGGAAAAAGAAAUUACACAUAAACAAGUCCCAAUUCUUUUCAUAUCUAUUGCUGAGACAUAAGCAACAAGUUUGCGGUUUUAUGAAAGAACAAUAAAGCAUGUUCAAGCUUAAAGCAUCUAAAAAGUAGAUGUUAAUCAUGUUAUCCGGACAGGUUUCAAUAAUCUGGGGCAAGAAAAGAUCUUAAUAUUUCAUUUUGACUGGAGGUUCCAAAGGCAGAUAUGCAUCUGGUACAAUCAGAAGCUCUAAAAGGAGCCAAAUUAUGCAUCGGCCUUUGCAAUGACAUUUCAAUGACCAUAACAAACACCAAGGUUAUGACUAAAAUAAAAGAAUAACAUCCCUAGUUGCUGAUACGUUCUAGAAAAAGUUGGAAAUGGUACAUGGUUAUCUUGACAUGGAAAUUUCCAACCUCAUUACAUCAAUGAACUUCAAAAUUUCCCAUCAGUCGUAAACAUUUUAGGACACACUUCUCAAAUACAUCAGAUCAACACUCACCUGCCACCCUCAAGAUUUUGAUAGAGAUCUCUACAACUAUCCAUAUCGUGGAGGAUUAAGAAUAAGGCAAGACCAAGUACCAAAUAAGGCUACACAGUUAUAGCUCAUUCUUCUGUGGACUUAUUUGGCUAAGAUACUUGCUAGAGGAACUUCAUUCAUCUUCUUAGGUUUACACCUACGCAAUGUGUGUGUAUGUGUGUAUCUUUGUACCCUUCUAAAAUUUUCAAUACUUCAAAACUGCCACCAAGCAUAAACCCUUCAUUCUUUUGGCUAGUAGAAGCCAAA
rnacentral:lncRNA from 1 species